CCACAUUCGCCUGGUCACAACGCCCAGAACAAGGAGCUGGGCCCAGCUGCGCAGGACAAUAGCUGCUGCUGCGAGGAAGAAGGGUGUGAGUGAGAAAUUUACAUCUUGGUAGUAGAACAGCUGGAGGUUCCCAUGUAAACAGACUGGCUGUUGCCUGAACCCCAGCUGGAGAUGAUUCUCGAAGAGGAGGAAAAAAGAUAUAAAAAUGAGAAACAGAGGUCCCAAAUCAUCUCUACUCAUGUCAUCAACCAUGUUUGAAAGACAAAAGAAGCAUCAUUGAACCGGGGGAGGGGUCCUGGCUGAAAGAUCCAGCCAGACUGCUGUGAGCAUGUGCAGAAGAAACAGCAGGUUCAGAGUCCAGAUCCCACAUUCGUAGGACAACACACUGGAUGCACAGACCUACACCUGAAGGAUCUGUGUCUAUGCACUGGCCUUGAGUCCUCCUGUUCCUGUAGCCCAAUUCCCGCCUUGGAGCUCUAAUGUCAGGAACUCUACAUACAGGAUACAGGUGUUUGGAUACCAAGAGACUGGAGUGUGGCACACGAGUCCUUCAUAGUGUGAAGAACCUCAUUCGUCUUAGCUGCGAACAGCCUCUCUCCAUCGAAUGGGAGGUCCUCCACUGUGUUCUGUAUUUUGCGGGGGAAUGUGGAAGAUGUGAACCACAAGGCCCUUUGCAUGACUGCAGCUGUGGCAGUGGAUCUGGUUGCAGUGUCGGCGGCAUCCUGAACUUGCAGCACCGUGAGGGCAAUGGUUUGGCC